rnacentral:lncRNA from 1 species
AUGGUAAUAACAUAUUUAGGAUUGAGGAAUAAACACCCGGACAGAGGAUCUGUUAUUGAGCUCUUGGAGAAGAAUGCUCUUAAGGCUGCAUUCGGCCCAGGCAACAAAGAUGAGAUGGAGGACUGCUACCCAAUCCUCAUCUCAUUCAUGCGCAAUCUUACUGAUGAGCAAUGGCAAGUGAUCUAUAAAGGAUUUAAAAAACCUAUGACAAAGGAACAGCUUGCAAAAUUGUGCAAGACCAUUGUCAACUUCAUUGCACAGACCACCCUGCAGAUCCUGCUGCCGGCCCUGGCCCGCAUUCUAGGGGUGACGGGCUUUUAUGACAACGCUGACUCACUCAAGAGGGGUGGCAGUGCAAGAUCCUUCACUGCCUUUGAGCAGAAAAGACUAGAGCUCAUCCAGGAAGUUAAAUAUUUGGCGAAGUAACUGUGGCGGCAGGGCUCUCCGACCAAGGUCUAGCACACCCUCUUCCAAGAGGUACUGUAUGUUCCCCAUAAUGUGUGUGUGUGUGUGUGUGUGUGUGUGUGUGUGUGUGUGUGUGUGUGUGCAGUUAUUCUGUGUGUUUUGCAAUAUCUAAUGCACACAUAUAAAUUACAUUUAGAAUACUCAAUUAUAAUGCUUGUUAGAUUUGUUAGCACUAAGAUAUCGAUUUUCCAACUUCAGACAGCAAUUAACAUGCUUUGCUUGUUCAUUUUAAAGUUCCCAGACCUCACUGAAAGUCCACCUGGGAAUGCCAGAGGACAGUAUCAUCAGCAGUGUCCAGGAGCAACUGUCAAAAUCUGACCAAAUGGUGGCUGCAGGACAGCUUUCACAAAUAGAUAAAGUGGUUGGAACUAUGCUGGAGAAC